rnacentral:rRNA from 1 species
GGGCUGCAGUAUAUUGACUGUACAAAGGUAGCAUAAUCAUUAGUCAUUUAAUUGAUGACUUGUAUGAAGGAUUGGAUGAAAUAUAAUCUGUCUCUUAAUUAAUAAUAGAAUUUAAUUUUUUAAUUAAAAAGUUAAAAUGGUUUAAAAAGACGAGAAGACCCUAUAGAGUUUUAUAAAUAAAUUAAUUAAGAUUAUUUAGUAAUAUAAAAUUAAAAUUAAAUUAUUUAUUAUAUUGGGGUGAUAGAAAAAUAUAAUUAACUUUUUUUAUAAAUUAAACAUUUAUAAGUGAUUAAAUGAUCCAGUACUAUUGAUUAUAAGAAAAAAUUACCUUAGGGAUAACAGCGUAAUUUUUUUUUUUAGUUCACAUAAGAAAAAGAGUUUGCGACCUCGAUGUUGGAUUAAGAUAAAAUUUAAAUGCAGAAG